rnacentral:rRNA from 1 species
CAGUAGCCGCGGUAAUACAGAGGGUGCAAGCGUUAAUCGGAUUUACUGGGCGUAAAGGGCGCGUAGGUGGUUAUUUAAGUGAGAUGUGAAAGCCCCGGGCUUAACCUGGGAACUGCAUCUUAUACUGGGUAACUGGAGUGCAGUAGAGGGUAGUGGAAUUUCCGGUGUAGCGGUGAAAUGCGUAGAUAUCGGAAGGAACACCUGUGGCGAAAGCGGCUCACUGGACAAUUACUGACGCUCAGGUGCGAAAGCGUGGGGAGCAAACAGGAUUAGAUACCCGGGUAGUCCAUGUCUCUUAUCA